UCGUUUUAUAGUAUAUUUUGUACGCGUGCCUUCCAAGCACGAAGACCAUUUGUUUUGUGGUGGAAUGAG
rnacentral:tRNA from 1 species